rnacentral:lncRNA from 1 species
CCUCAGAACCCGGGACCCCUGGGCUCCUGAGACCCGCGGAAGGACGGACGGACCGACCGACAGGUCCGGGUGCUGGCUAGAUGGACGGCAUCAUCUACUCGGAGCAGACGGUCGCGGGCCAAGGGACCCUGAAAGUGAGACAGAGGCUUGUGGAAGAGGAAGAUGUCCGAGUCACAGCCGUGCUGUUGUCCUGAAGUAGUCAGAAGACGACGAUUUCCAUUUACUCCUUGGGUUUCAGGAGGAAACACGCACUGGAGGGUCUCUACCUUGAAGGGCUUGCUUUCCAGACCUCUUCCAGGGGGCAUGCAUGUGCCAAGGUGCUGUGCUGAGGUCAGGUGGAAACUUGCAGGAAUCCAUUCUCUCUUCCAUCAUGUGGGUGCCAGAGGUUGA